AGAGUUUGAUCCUGGCUCAGGAUGAACGCUGGCGGCGUGCCUAAUACGUGCAAGUCGAACGCACAGCGAAAGGUGCUUGCACCUUUCAAGUGAGUGGCGAACGGGUGAGUAACACGUGGACAACCUGCCUCAAGGCUGGGGAUAACAUUUGGAAACAGAUGCUAAUACCGAAUAAAACUCAGUGUCGCAUGACACAAAGUUAAAAGGCGCUUUGGCGUCACCUAGAGAUGGAUCCGCGGUGCAUUAGUUAGUUGGUGGGGUAAAGGCCUACCAAGACAAUGAUGCAUAGCCGAGUUGAGAGACUGAUCGGCCACAUUGGGACUGAGACACGGCCCAAACUCCUACGGGAGGCUGCAGUAGGGAAUCUUCCACAAUGGGCGAAAGCCUGAUGGAGCAACGCCGCGUGUGUGAUGAAGGCUUUCGGGUCGUAAAGCACUGUUGUAUGGGAAGAACAGCUAGAAUAGGGAAUGAUUUUAGUUUGACGGUACCAUACCAGAAAGGGACGGCUAAAUACGUGCCAGCAGCCGCGGUAAUACGUAUGUCCCGAGCGUUAUCCGGAUUUAUUGGGCGCAAAGCGAGCGCAGACGGUUGAUUAAGUCUGAUGUGAAAGCCCGGAG
rnacentral:rRNA from 1 species